rnacentral:rRNA from 1 species
GUCCGCCUGCCCUGUGAUAAUAUAUUUAACGGCCGCGGUAUUUUGACCGUGCAAAGGUAGCGCAAUCACUUGUCUUUUAAAUGGAGACCUGUAUGAAUGGCAUAACGAGGGCUUAACUGUCUCCCUCCCCCAGUCAAUGAAAUUGAUUUUUCCGUGCAGAAGCGGGAAUAAACCCAUAAGACGAGAAGACCCUGUGGAGCUUUAGACAAUAAGUAGCCCCUGUAAAGAGCCCUCAUUAGACGAGACAAAACAAACGGAUGACUAUUUUGCUGUCUUUGGUUGGGGCGACCGCGGGGUAACAAAGAACCCCCAUGUGGAACAAGAAUACCUUCUUUAAACCAAGAGCAUCUCCUCGAAGUACCAGAACAUCUGACCUAAUAUGACCCGGCCUUGCCGAUCAACGGAAUCAGUUACCCCAGGGAUAACAGCGCAAUCCUCUCCCAGAGCCCAUAUCGACGAGGGGGUUUACGACCUCGAUGUUGGAUCAGGACAUCCUGAUGGUGCAGCCGCUAUCAAGGGUUCGUUUGUUCAACGAUUAAAGUCCUACGUGAUCUG